rnacentral:rRNA from 1 species
GAUGAACGCUGGCGGCGUGCCUAAUACAUGCAAGACGAGCGAACAGACGAGGAGCUUGCUCCUCUGACGUUAGCGGCGGACGGGUGAGUAACACGUGGAUAACCUACCUAUAAGACUGGGAUAACUUCGGGAAACCGGAGCUAAUACCGGAUAACAUGUUGAACCGCAUGGUUCAACAGUGAAAGACGGUCUUGCUGUCACUUAUAGAUGGAUCCGCGCCGCAUUAGCUAGUUGGUAAGGUAACGGCUUACCAAGGCAACGAUGCGUAGCCGACCUGAGAGGGUGAUCGGCCACACUGGAACUGAGACACGGUCCAGACUCCUACGGGAGGCAGCAGUAGGGAAUCUUCCGCAAUGGGCGAAAGCCUGACGGAGCAACGCCGCGUGAGUGAAGAAGGUCUUCGGAUCGUAAAACUCUGUUAUUAGGGAAGAACAAAUGUGUAAGUAACUAUGCACGUCUUGACGGUACCUAAUCAGAAAGCCACGGCUAACUACGUG